GAUGAACGCUGGCGGCGUGCCUAAUACAUGCAAGUCGAGCGAACAGAUGAGGAGCUUGCUCCUCUGACGUUAGCGGCGGACGGGUGAGUAACACGUGGAUAACCUACCUAUAAGACUGGGAUAACUUCGGGAAACCGGAGCUAAUACCGGAUAAUAUAUUGAACCGCAUGGUUCAAUAGUGAAAGACGGUUUUGCUGUCACUUAUAGAUGGAUCCGCGCCGCAUUAGCUAGUUGGUAAGGUAACGGCUUACCAAGGCAACGAUGCGUAGCCGACCUGAGAGGGGGAUCGGCCACACUGGAACUUGAACACGGUCCAGACUCCUACGGGAGGCAGCAGUAGGGAAUCGUCCGCAAAGGGCGAAAGCCUGACGGAGCAACGCCGCGUGAGUGAUGAAGGUCUUCGGAUCGUAAAACUCUGUUAUUAGGGAAGAACAAAUGUGUAAGUAACUAUGCACGUCUUGACGGUACCUAAUCAGAAAGCCACGGCUAACUACGUG
rnacentral:rRNA from 1 species